rnacentral:lncRNA from 10 species
AAGUUUACAAAUUUGUGUUGGACCACAUUCAAAGCUGUCCUGGGUGGCAUGAGAACCAUGGGCUGAGGAUUGGACAAGCUUGCUCUACAAUAUUCACAGAGCCAGAUUUCCUUCUGCACCAGAGCCUGUGGAAGCGCCACAGUGGAAGCAGCAGAGACUGGAAGAGCAGGCCACAGAUCAGCCCUGGGGUUCAGAGGGAUCCUGACAGCUACUCCUCAAGAUCCUCUCUGUUGUGAUUCAUCCCCCCGGGGCCCUACAGUUUCUCCUUCCUGACUCUUACAUUUCUUUGGAUGGCAUCAUUAUUGCUGGAGUGCAGUGAUGUGAUCUCGGCUCACUGCAACCCCUGCCUCCUGGAUUCAAGCAAUUCUCCUGCCUCACCCUCCCAAGUAGCUGGGAUUACAGUACCUGUCUCCUCCCAUAGUUAGGUGCCAAGCACUGUGGAUUCUGCCUCUCAGUGUCCAGACACCCAUUUUCCUUCCCACUGUUCCUUCCCCAUGGAGAAGCCUGUGGCUGGCUGACAGCAGAGAGAGAUGCUCAACUUGGAGAAGGUGUUACCUGGGCCAGGUGGGGAAGGUUUGUUUGCAGAGCAAAGAAGUGAAGGAAGUAUUAACCCUUUGCAUGGCCUCCUGAGAAUCCGACAAGACGUAAAUAGCCAAGAAUAUCUGUGAAACUUCAUCACUGAGUUACAAUAUUUAUCACUGCAAGUGUGUUGUUCAUUGACACUAUAAAGCCAUGUGGAAUUAAGCAGCCUUGAAACACAAAAUGGAGAAAGGCUAAGAGCUGAGAAUUGUUGCCUUCAGGGAAAUACAAUCAAUGUCAAGCA